rnacentral:rRNA from 1 species
UGGUGGGUUGCCUUGUCAGGUUGAUUCCGGUAACGAACGAGACCUCAGCCUGCUAAAUAGCUACAGUUGCCUCUGGCAGCUGGCCAGCUUCUUAGAGGGACUAUUGUCGUUUAGGCAAUGGAAGUAUGAGGCAAUAACA